UUGUUAUCAGAACAGUGGUCCCUUUUCUUCUCUAAUAGAAAAUACACAGGAGGAAUAUUAUCUAUUUUGCUCUCUUACUUGUGUUGGGAUAUGUAUGUCUUCUUGGAACAGCUUCUUUUCCAUUGCUCACUCAUAAAAAAACCCCAAAAAUCUGGAUUGUUACAGCUAUAUGAUUACCAAGGUUUAACAGUUAUCACUUCUGUCUCAAAGGUCCUGAGUGUGUACUGUGGUACUGUGUACCUUUGCUACUCUGAGCAGUUCUGGCUGAGAAUUUCUGGAUGCAUCAUGAUGGAAUGCAAGCAGUGGAAGCAUAUCAUUUCUCUUCAGAUAAAUCGUUCCUCAACUUCAAACUCCACUGCUUCCUCACUGCAACUAAAAGCUUAGAAGAGGUAAUCAGCUUGUGGUUUCAAGUGUUGCAUUUUUGGGGUAAUUUCACUUCUCUCUGUUUCAGUGCAGGUCAUUCAAUGGACAUUUCUUGUAAGUUUUUUAUCAUGGUGUUUCUAGUGCUCUAUGCAGCCCCUCACCAAUUUAACUUUAUUAGGAGGAUUUUGAAGGCAAAAUAAAGACACAUGCAGUGAACUUUUUAUGUUCA
rnacentral:lncRNA from 1 species